rnacentral:lncRNA from 1 species
CUACUCGACUCGAAUGCAUUCUUAUCGAGUUAAUGGCAUAUCCCUCCCACCGGUCUCACUUACCUGGCCAUAUGUGUCGACUCAGUUCUGAUUAGAGGUGGCUAACAAUUCGAGCUAACCCAUGCUACUAGGUUAGUCAUAAUUGUUAUGACUAUGUCAAGUCAAGUUUAAUGAGACCUAAAUAAAUCUCUCUAAAAAAAUAUUAAGUCUAGGUCUUCCACC